rnacentral:rRNA from 1 species
UACGUAGGGGGGCAAGCGUUGUCCGGAAUCAUUGGGCGUAAAGAGCGUGUAGGCGGCUCGAUAAGUCUGCUGUGAAAGUCCAGGGCUCAACCCUGGAAGGCCGGUGGAAACUGUCGGGCUAGAGUCCGGAAGAGGCGAGUGGAAUUCCCGGUGUAGCGGUGAAAUGCGCAGAUAUCGGGAGGAACACCAAUGGCGAAGGCAGCUCGCUGGGACGGUACUGACGCUGAGGAGCGAAAGCGUGGGGAGCGAACAGG